AGACAGCAGUAGCCGCGGUAAAACGUAGGGUGCAAGCGUUAAUCGGAAUUACUGGGCGUAAAGCGUGCGCAGGCGGUUAUAUAAGUCAGAUGUGAAAUCCCCGGGCUCAACCUGGGAACUGCAUUUGAGACUGUAUGGCUAGAGUGUGUCAGAGGGGGGUAGAAUUCCACGUGUAGCAGUGAAAUGCGUAGAUAUGUGGAGGAAUACCGAUGGCGAAGGUAGCCCCCUGGGAUAACACUGACGCUCAUGCACGAGAGCGUGGGGAGCAAACAGGAUUAGAUACCCCUGUAGUCCCUGUCUCUUAUAC
rnacentral:rRNA from 1 species